GAUGAACGCUGGCGGCGUGCCUAAUACAUGCAAGUCGAGCGAACAGACGAGGAGCUUGCUCCUCUGACGUUAGCGGCGGACGGGUGAGUAACACGUGGAUAACCUACCUAUAAGACUGGGAUAACUUCGGGAAACCGGAGCUAAUACCGGAUAACAUGUUGAACCGCAUGGUUCAACAGUGAAAGACGGUCUUGCUGUCACUUAUAGAUGGAUCCGCGCCGCAUUAGCUAGUUGGUAAGGUAACGGCUUACCAAGGCAACGAUGCGUAGCCGACCUGAGAGGGUGAUCGGCCACACUGGAACUGAGACACGGUCCAGACUCCUACGGGAGGCAGCAGUAGGGAAUCUUCCGCAAUGGGCUAAAGCCUGACGGAGCAACGCCGCGUGAGUGAAGAAGGUCUUCGGAUCGUAAAACUCUGUUAUUAGGGAAGAACAAAUGUGUAAGUAACUAUGCACGUCUUGACGGUACCUAAUCAGAAAGCCACGGCUAACUACGUG
rnacentral:rRNA from 1 species